CCUACGGGUCGCACCAGUGGGGAAUAUUGCACAAUGGGCGCAAGCCUCAUGCAGCCAUGCCGCGUGUAAGAAGAAGGCCCUAGGGUUGUAAAGUACUUUCAGUCGGGAGGAAGGCGUUGAUGCUAGUAUCAUCAACGAUUGACGUUACCGACAGAAGAAGCACCGGCUAACUCCGUGCCAGCAGCCGCGGUAAUACGGAGGGUGCAAGCGUUAAUCGGAAUUACUGGGCGUAAAGCGCACGCAGGCGGUUGAUUAAGUUAGAUGUGAAAUCCCCGGGCUUAACCUGGGAAUGGCAUCUAAGACUGGUCAGCUAGAGUCUUGUAGAGGGGGGUGGAAUUCCAUGUGUAGCGGUGAAAUGCGUAGAGAUGUGGAGGAAUACCGGUGGCGAAGGCGGCCCCCUGGACAAAGACUGACGCUCAGGUGCGAAAGCGUGGGGAGCAAACAGGAUUAGAUACCCGUGUAGUC
rnacentral:rRNA from 1 species